rnacentral:rRNA from 1 species
UACGUAGGGGGCAAGCGUUGUCCGGAUUUAUUGGGCGUAAAGAGCGUGUAGGCGGCCAUGCAGGUCCGUUGUGAAACUCGAGCUCAACCUCGAGACGCCGAUGGAAACCGCAUGGCUAGAGUCCGGAAGAGGAGAGUGGAAUUCCUGGUGUAGCGGUGAAAUGCGCAGAGUAUCAGGAAGAACACCCGUGGCUAAGGCGGCUCUCUAGUACGGUACUGACGCUGAGACGCGAAAGCGUGGGGAGCGAACAGG